GACGAACGCUGGCGGCGUGCUUAACACAUGCAAGUCGAACGCUGAAGCUCAGCUUUUGUUGGGUGGAUGAGUGGCGAACGGGUGAGUAACACGUGAGUAACCUGCCCCCUUCUUUGGGGUAACGCCCGGAAACGGGUGCUAAUACUGGAUAUUCACUGGUCUUCGCAUGGGGGUUGGUGGAAAGGAUUUUUCUGGUGGGGGAUGGGCUCGCGGCCUAUCAGCUUGUUGGUGGGGUGAUGGCCUACCAAGGCUUUGACGGGUAGCCGGCCUGAGAGGGUGACCGGUCACAUUGGGACUGAGAUACGGCCCAGACUCCUACGGGAGGCAGCAGUGGGGAAUAUUGCACAAUGGGCGCAAGCCUGAUGCAGCGACGCCGCGUGAGGGAUGGAGGCCUUCGGGUUGUGAACCUCUUUCGCUCAUGGUCAAGCCGCAACAAUGGUUGUGGUGAGGGUAGUGGGUAAAGAAGCGCCGGCUAACUACGUG
rnacentral:rRNA from 1 species